GAAAUUUCCUAUGCAUGUCCAGGUAAUCUGGCUAGUCAAAGUCAGCAGCUUCCUGUAACUCUCUUGCUCAGGUAUCGGUAUAUACUACCUGAUGCAAUAUGGGUGCUCACCAAGUAACUGCAGCUAUAGAUCUGUGGGCAGACCCAUUAUCUAUCUCUUCAUAUGGAAAUUUAGAAAGAAAAAGUGGAAGGAUCCCAGCAGGGGGUCCUUAGGGAUGUGGGUCACAAACACUCACCAAAUGAAUUAUCUCAAAAAGCACUUUGGUUAGGCUUCCUCCGAACAGAGGAAGCCAGAACAUAAGUGAAAUACUCUUGUUUAUGCUUCACAAAGGAUAAAGUAAUGAUGGACUGAGACAGUAGCCCCAUUUUAAAGAACUGGGAAAAGACGAUGUAGGACGUUUUAAAGAGGUGGCUUGGAGCUCCUGUAAUAAGUUAAAGAAGGGUUGAGAUUGGGGCUCAGGAUUUUUGAGUAGGGCUUUAGGAUGAAAGAGAAAGGGCUCCAGUUUUACUGUGUUGGGAGACGGGAAGUUGAAAGAGGGCAUUCUGCUGUGAUUCCACA
rnacentral:lncRNA from 1 species